rnacentral:pre_miRNA from 1 species
CAUGCACUGGUGGGGUCCCUCAGCCUGGCCUGUGCCCUCUCGCAAUCCUGAACCCCUCAGGGGAUGUCGGAGAGCCAAUUUCAGCCCGAUCCCCGCAGGCCAGGCCGAGGGACCCCACCGGUGCAUG